AUUGAACGCUGGCGGCAUGCCUUACACAUGCAAGUCGAACGGCAGCAUGGAGAGCUUGCUCUCUGCUGGCGAGUGGCGAACGGGUGAGUAAAGCAUCUGAACGUACCGUGUAGUGGGGGAUAACGUAGCGAAAGUUACGCUAAUACCGCAUACGCACUGAGGUGGAAAGCAGGGGAUCGUAAGACCUUGCGCUAUACGAGCGGCCGAUGUCAGAUUAGCUAGUUGGUAGGGUAAAGGCCUACCAAGGCGACGAUCUGUAGCGGGUCUGAGAGGAUGAUCCGCCACACUGGGACUGAGACACGGCCAAGACUCCUACGGGAGGCAGCAGUGGGGAAUUUUGGACAAUGGGGGCAACCCUGAUCCAGCCAUGCCGCGUGAGUGAAGAAGGCCUUCGGGUUGUAAAGAUCUUUCGGCCGGGAAGAAAUCGCACAGGCUAAUACCCUGUGUGGAUGACGGUACCGGCAUAAGAAGCACCGGCUAACUACGUG
rnacentral:rRNA from 1 species